rnacentral:rRNA from 1 species
CGGACGGGUGAGUAAUGCUUGGGAAUCUGGCUCAUGGAGGGGGAUAACUACGGGAAACUGUAGCUAAUACCGCGUAGUAUCGGAAGAUGAAAGUGUGGGACCGCAAGGCCACAUGCCAUGAGAUGAGCCCAAGUGGGAUUAGGUAGUUGGUUAGGUAAAGGCUGACCAAGCCGACGAUCUCUAGCUGGUCUGAGAGGAUGACCAGCCACACUGGAACUGAGACACGGUCCAGACUCCUACGGGAGGCAGCAGUGGGGAAUAUUGCACAAUGGGGGAAACCCUGAUGCAGCCAUGCCGCGUGAAUGAAGAAGGCCUUCGGGUUGUAAAGUUCUUCCGGUGAUGAGGAAGGUGUUUGUUUUAAUAGGACAAGCAAUUGACGUUAGUCACCGAAGAAGCACCGGCUAACUCCGUGCCAGCAGCCGCGGUAAUACGGAGGGUGCGAGCGUUAAUCGGAAUAACUGGGCGUAAAGGGCACGCAGGCGGUGACUUAAGUGAGAUGUGAAAGCCCCGAGCUUAACUUGGGAAUUGCAUUUCAUACUGGGUCGCUAGAGUACUUUAGGGAGGGGUAGAAUUCCACGUGUAGCGGUGAAAUGCGUAGAGAUGUGGAGGAAUACCGAAGGCGAAGGCAGCCCCUUGGGAAUGUACUGACGCUCAUGUGCGAAAGCGUGGGGAGCAAACAGGAUUAGAUACCCUGGUAGUCCACGCUGUAAACGCUGUCGAUUUGGGGAUUGGGCUUAGAGCUUGGUGCUCGUAGCUAACGUGAUAAAU